rnacentral:rRNA from 1 species
UACAGAGGGGGCAAGCGUUAUUCGGAAUUAUUGGGCGUAAAGGGCGCGUAGGCGGCUUAACAAGUGGCGGGUGAAAUCCCUCGGCUUAACCGAGGAACUGCCUGCCAGACUGUCUUGCUUGAGACCGGGAGAGGUGAGUGGAAUUCCCAGUGUAGCGGUGAAAUGCGUAGAUAUUGGGAGGAACACCAGUGGCGAAGGCGGCUCACUGGACCGGAACUGACGCUGAGGCGCGAAAGCGUGGGGAGCAAACAGG